UUGACGGGACCCGCACAAGCGUGGAGCAUGUGGUUUAAUUCGACGAUACGCGAAGAACCUUACCUGGCCUUGACAUACUAAAAAGCUUUAAGAGAUUAGAGUGUGCUAGCUUGCUAGAAUUUAGAUACAGGUGCUGCACGGCUGUCGUCAGCUCGUGUCGUGAGAUGUUGGGUUAAGUCCCGCAACGAGCGCAACCUCGUGUUUAGUUGCUAACAGUUCGGCUGAGAACUCUAAACAGACUGCCUACGCAAGUAGGAGGAAGGUGAGGACGACGUCAAGUCAUCAUGGCCCUUACGGCCAGGGCUACACACGUGCUACAAUGGGGUAUACAAAGAGCAGCGAUACGGUGACGUGGAGCAAAUCUAGAAAAUGCCUCUCAGUUCGGAUUGUAGCCUGCAACUCGACUACAUGAAGUUGGAAUCGCUAGUAAUCGUAGAUCAGCAAUGCUACGGUGAAUACGUUCCCGGGUCUU
rnacentral:rRNA from 1 species